rnacentral:circRNA from 1 species
AAGGCCAUCACCGCCUUGUGGUGAAGCCCUCUGGAGAGGCUGGGGCUCAGCCUGCCCAGUUUGGUUCUGGACACUCGCAGCAUCUUGAAACCUGAUGACAUUUCUUCAACAUAAGGGUAAAGCAUGUCUCCAAAGUAU